rnacentral:tRNA from 2 species
GCUUCGCUGGCGGAAUUGGUAUACGCGCCGCACUUAGGAUGCGGUACCAGAAAUGGUCUCCGGGUUCGACUCCCGGGCGAAGCA